UACAGAGGUCCCAAGCGUUGUUCGGAUUCAUUGGGCGUAAAGGGUGCGUAGGUGGCGCGCUAAGUCAGGUGUGAAAUUUCGGAGCUUAACUCCGAAACUGCAUUUGAUACUGGCGUGCUUGAGGACUGGAGAGGAGACUGGAAUUUACGGUGUAGCAGUGAAAUGCGUAGAGAUGUGGAGGAAUACCGAUGGCGAAGGCAGCCCCCUGGGCCAAUACUGACGCUCAUGCACGAAAGCGUGGGGAGCAAACAGG
rnacentral:rRNA from 1 species